UACGUAGGUGGCAAGCGUUGUCCGGAUUUACUGGGCGUAAAGAGCGCGCAGGCGGUCGUUCAAGUCGCGUGUGAAAGCCCCCGGCUCAACUGGGGAGGGUCACGCGAUACUGAUCGACUGGAAGGCAGGAGAGGGUAGUGGAAUUCCCGGUGUAGUGGUGAAAUGCGUAGAUAUCGGGAGGAAUACCAGCGGCGAAGGCGGCCUUCUGGACGGUGACUGACGCUGAGACGCGAAAGCCAGGGGAGCGAACGGG
rnacentral:rRNA from 1 species